GACGAACGCUGGCGGCGUGCUUAACACAUGCAAGUCGAACGAAGAGCGAUGGAAGCUUGCUUCUAUCAAUCUUAGUGGCGAACGGGUGAGUAACGCGUAAUCAACCUGCCCUUCAGAGGGGGACAACAGUUGGAAACGACUGCUAAUACCGCAUACGAUCUAAACUCGGCAUCGAGGAUAGAUGAAAGGUGGCCUCUACAUGUAAGCUAUCACUGAAGGAGGGGAUUGCGUCUGAUUAGCUAGUUGGAGGGGUAACAGCCCACCAAGGCGAUGAUCAGUAGCCGGUCUGAGAGGAUGAACGGCCACAUUGGGACUGAGACACGGCCCAGACUCCUACGGGAGGCAGCAGUGGGGAAUCUUCCGCAAUGGACGAAAGUCUGACGGAGCAACGCCGCGUGAGUGAUGACGGCCUUCGGGUUGUAAAGCUCUGUUAAUCGGGACGAAAGGCCUUCUUGCGAAUAGUGAGAAGGAUUGACGGUACCGGAAUAGAAAGCCACGGCUAACUACGUG
rnacentral:rRNA from 1 species